rnacentral:lncRNA from 1 species
AACCCACAGAAAAGAGCUUCUCUUUUUCAGCCUAGAGAAAGAGAAUUUGAGAGAGAGAGAGAGAGAGAGAGAGAGAGAGAGAGAGAGAGAGAGACACGCGGGGACAGAGACCAGCCGCGGGGACACGUGGAGGAAGAGAGCGCAGCUUCCUCGAGCGCCCGCACCUCCGGGAGCGGAUGCGCCCCGUCCCGCGCGCUGCGGUGCGUCGGUGCGUCCGUCGGCCUCCCAUCCCGGACCCCGGGACGGGGCUGAGAGGGCAGGUUCCAGAGCCGCUCGGGGCGCCGGGGAUUUCAGCGGCCAGCCCGGCGGGCAGCUGGCUCUGUUUGUCCAGGUGUGGGCGGGGGGCGGCCUGGGCCGCACCAAGGAAGCCGGCGACUCUGCUCGCGCGCUCCCCGCUCGCAGGCGAAAACGCCCGCCCUCCACCCGUCCUCACACACCGCCGAGGCAGCACACAAAUCCUCAUUGUUCAGAAAGAAGCCGAGGAGGCCGGCGGCUCCCCCGGCCCGGCAGAGCGAGGCAGCCUUGCAGGGAGGGAGGCGGGGGCCGCGAGGAUCCGGUGUCGCGUUGCAGAUUCUCACUAAAGAUAACGAAACGUGAUCUAUUUUUCAGGCCAGCAAGUGGAUGGGAAAGAACCUUGACAACACAAAACUCAUUUACUAAUGGACUGGUUUUGGGUUUCCCUUCUCUGGGUCCGCGGAUCGCCCUGCCUGAGCCCUCGGCCUAUUCAGACCUCGCGGGCAGCAGCGUCCCCGUCGAAAGCAGGGACUCGGCUGUGCUGCAAGACCUCCCUCCACCCCACCCCCAUUAUAAUUGUGCGCACUUGCUCCAGACUUUAGGGUAUUAGCUGAUUUUCGGAGCCUGGUUUAAGCCUCCGUUCCGGUCCUCACACAGCUGCGUUGUCAAUAAGACUGUUCCAAGCAGAGACAUUCGUUCUGGCAGGACACCGCAGCUCCUCAAGACUUCAUCUGAAAACAUCACGGGCACUAAAAUAAGACAGCGAGGGAAAAUUACCAGACACAUGGCCUUGGACUCAGAGUGCCAGGCUUCUAGUUUAGCAAGUAAGUCACUGAGCGUACCAUGUGGCAGGGGUUCUUUUGAAACCACACGCACCCAUUAAAUGCAUUUUUUUAAAAAAAAUUAGCCUAGAGGUAAUGAAAUAUCAGCAUCUGCUUCCAGCGUCUAAUUGCAUGGGAUACAGAGAGCUUGCAGGCUGCAGAAAGCAUUGUGUAGGAGUUCAGCAGGGAGGCAGCUCCCUCUCUGCUUGAAUCUCCCCAGAGGCGGCGCUGACGUGGGAAACCUGUAAGAGUUGACCAUGGACAUUGCAGGGUGCACUGGGUGGGGUGCAUUAUUUUAAAACCAUAUAAAUUAUACAAGGAGAAACCCACACAGGCUCUCCUCCUGCCACUUAUGUCUCUCUAUGCUACAGAUUCUGUAAUGCAGGGCUCUUUGACUGAUGGAAUCCAAACAUAUUUAAAGAAGAUGAGCAAGUUUAAAGAGCCUAGGGUUUGUUCUUCUCCAUCCCCUAAGAGGGCGCGUUGCAAUCAAAAGCAUUUUUGAAGUGUACUUAAAAUUCUGUUUUGAACUUAUCUAAUCAGAGAUAAGUAUAGUCAUAAAGUCCUUCUCCUUCCACCAUUUGGCUUCCCUUAUCUCCACUCAUUGUUCUUAUCUCCUGCCAGUCUCAGCUACUGACAAUAGAUUAUCUCUGUUUAGAGAGGCUAAUUGUUUUCAGAAUCUUUUUAAUAAUUGCUUUGGAACAAGGUGUGCAAAUGAGGCUUAAGAUAAUUACAGCUUCAUUUGUUGGUGCAGUUUUACUACACAUUCUUCACACAUGGAGCAAAAUAGCA